rnacentral:rRNA from 1 species
AUUGAACGCUGGCGGCAUGCCUUACACAUGCAAGUCGAACGGCAGCAUAGGAGCUUGCUCCUGAUGGCGAGUGGCGAACGGGUGAGUAAUAUAUCGGAACGUGCCCUAGAGUGGGGGAUAACUAGUCGAAAGACUAGCUAAUACCGCAUACGAUCUACGGAUGAAAGUGGGGGAUCGCAAGACCUCAUGCUCCUGGAGCGGCCGAUAUCUGAUUAGCUAGUUGGUGGGGUAAAAGCUCACCAAGGCGACGAUCAGUAGCUGGUCUGAGAGGACGACCAGCCACACUGGGAAUGAGACACGGCCCAGACUCCUACGGGAGGCAGCAGGGGGGAAUUUUGGACAAUGGGGGCAACCCUGAUCCAGCAAUGCCGCGUGAGUGAAGAAGGCCUUCGGGUUGUAAAGCUCUUUUGUCAGGGAAGAAACAGCAGCUCUAACACAGUCUGCGAAUGACGGUACCUGAAGAAUAAGCACCGGCUAACUACGUGCCAGCAGCCGCCGUAA